AGCUUUGUGCAGAGACAGUAUCCUACCAGUGAUGUUUACCCGAGGCACAAUUAUUGCUGAUUAAAAUCACUCCUAAAGCCAAACAAUUAGGGCUCUUUUCAAUUCGUCACUGUUAUAAUAGCAUUUUGACGG
rnacentral:snRNA from 1 species